GACGAACGCUGGCGGCGUGCCUAAUACAUGCAAGUAGAACGCACAGUUUAUACCGUAGCUUGCUACACCAUACACUGUGAGUUGCGAACGGGUGAGUAACGCGUAGGUAACCUGCCUGGUAGCGGGGGAUAACUAUUGGAAACGAUAGCUAAUACCGCAUAAUAUUGAUUAUUGCAUGAUAAUUGAUUGAAAGAUGCUAUUGCAUCACUACCAGCUGGACCUGCGUUGUAUUAGCUAGUAGGUGAGGUAACGGCUCACCUAGGCGACGAUACAUAGCCGACCUGGGAGGGUGAUCGGCCACACUGGGACUGGGACACGGCCCAGACUCCUACGGGAGGCAGCAGUAGGGGAUCUUCGGCAAUAGACGAAAGUCUGACCGAGCAACGCCGCGUGGGUGGAGAAGGUUUUCGGAUCGUAAAGCUCUGUUGUAAGGGAAGAACGGGUGUGAGAGUGGAAAGUUCACACUGUGACGGUAUCUUACCAGAAAGGGACGGCUAACUACGUG
rnacentral:rRNA from 1 species